AUAGGGAGGAGCUGCAGGGGCGUGGCCCCUGGAGUACUGACUGUGGCUAGUAUAAAGAGACCUCACAACGACUGACAGGCACAUACAGAUUUCCCUUCGCAUAACAAGGGUAGCUGCUUUCGACAUGGCUUGUAUCAAACUCUUGGUUUUCGUCUUAACCACUUUGGCUCUGCUGCCUUUGGUCUCCGUCAAAGCCAAGCCGCACAAUGUGCCCUCAGGAUAUUAUUAUGCCCAGCACUCCUCAUACCGUAGUCCACACGGCCUUUACUACCGCCCAUAUCACCCUUACGCCCCUGCAUCCACCAGCUACUACAAUUACCCUUCUUACAGCUACGUCCACUCCCAUCAGACCAGAAAUGCUGAGAAAAAGUAGGCAGCUGUUAUCGUCAAUGUACUGAUAUUCUUCGAAGAGUCGACCAUCAGACGCCCUUAUGUGAAUGUAUUUUUUUUUUUUAUAUUGAGUUCAAGUUUUGUUUUACAAAAAUUUACUCUGGGAAAUAUGAUUUUGUAUCACCACACUGCCAAACAAAUUCACUGAAUAUCCUUUUAAAAAGUAACAAGUCCAGAAUGAGAACAAAUUAUGCUUUAGAUAAAUGUACAAAUAUACUUCAUAAAGACUUCUUCCCUUCUUCUUUUGAACGCAAAAACAUUUUAUGAUUAGAGCAAGUCUGAAAGAAUUAGCCUGAACUCAUGAGAUAAGUACAUUCUCAUAACUACGUAUUUGUAGUAUGUGUAAAAGUUACAAUAAAAUUUCUUACAAUG